AUAAAAGCAAAGAAAAGGACACGAGUUAUUUUAAACGGUUAUACAGAGAAGGAAGGAAAGCUGAGAACUUCCUAACGCAGAGAAAUAACUUACCACCUUAGAGCUGCACUGGGGAAAAUGAAAGUAUCUAGUGCCGUGUAAGCGACGUUACCUGCAAAAGAAGCCAUUGUACGAUGAAGUAUGAUGGGAAUCUGGGUGGAACCACGAAUAUAAGCAUAUUCGUCCCUAUU
rnacentral:ncRNA from 1 species